GACGUAGGAUGCAAGCGUUGUCCGGAAUUAUUGGGCGUAAAGAGUUCGUAGGCGGUUUGUUAAGUCUGGUGUUAAAGACGGGAGCUCAACUCCCGCAUGGCAUCGGAUACUGGCAGGCUAGAGUGUGGUAGAGGUCUCGGGAAUUCCCAGUGUAGCGGUGAAAUGCGUAGAGAUGUGGAGGAACACCAGUGGCGAAGGCGACUCUUUGGUCUGUAACUGACGCUGAGGCGCGAAAGCGUGGGGAGCAAACAGG
rnacentral:rRNA from 1 species